AUGGUUUUGUCCCCUUUUAGCCUUUAGAUGAAGCCACUCUUACUGAAUUAAAAACAGUCCUGAAGAGCUUCCUAAGUAAAGGCCAAGUCUUGAAAUUGGAAGUUAAGACUGACCCGUCAAUCAUGGGUGGAAUGAUUGUCCGUAUUGGAGAGAGAUACGCCGAUAUGUCUGCAAAAACCAAGAUUCAGAAGCUCAGCAGGGCCAUGCGGGAAGUUUUCUGAAAGUGUUGAUUUUGUCAGUGAAAAUUCCUAAACUUGGAGCAACAAUAAAAUGCUUCCUGAACAGAA